AGCCUCGUCCUCGGCGCCGCCGUGCUGGCGCUGGGCUCCUGGGGUGAGUCGCUCUCGCCGGCUUUCCCUGCCGGCGCCGGGUUCGGAAGCGGGAUCCCGCCGGCUUUUCGGGGAACAGGGGCGACGGCGAGGCAAAACUGCUGGAAAGCUUGAAUUUUUUUGGAGGGGACGAGACACAAGGGCCUGCGUUGCUCGCUGGCACAUUUUUUUCCGCGGAAGAAGCCGCCAGUCCGGUUCGGCACCUCCGUAUCCCGCGUGCUGUCACCCCCGGGGGGGGCUGAGGGGCUGCAUCCUGGUGCCGGGGGCGACCUCGGAGGUGUUGCCGCUGCCUCCCUUCUCCUCCGCUCUGUCCUUCUCUUGCAGUUCACCACCUGCAGACGGAGAAGCCGGGAAAUGUCAUGGAGGGACGCGGGGACGUGGCGCCGGCGGAUUGCAGGAACGUGACGCCAGUGGAUUGCAGGGACGCGACGCCGGCGGAUUGCGGGGAUGCCGUGGCCGACGUCCACCGGCGGCUCCGGGUGGCCCUGUGCCCCCCGCAGGGGCAGGAUCCAGCAGAGGGCGACGGAUGCUGGCUCUGCCCGCCAGGCUGGACGCGGCGCGGGCGCAAGUGCUACUGGGUGGCCGACGGGACCCAGUCCUGGAACAAGAGCCAGGAGAACUGCACUUCCCGGGACGCCGAGCUGCUGAUGCCGGAGGACUGCGACGAGCUGGAGUUCGUAAAGGACAUCGCAAAGAAACCCUCUAAAUACUUCUGGAUCAAACUCUCCGGCCCGGAUCGGAGCCAGAUACUGCUCAACGGCUCCUGCCUGGAUCAGAGCGGGCUCCCGCCGGGCUCCAGCAAAGGCUGCAGGGCGCUGAAGGACGGCCGGAUCCUGGCCGAGAGCUGCGACUCCGCGAUCUCCUGGAUCUGCCAGAAAGCCGCCAUCGCUAUCUGAGCCAGCUGGAAGCAGGCGCCGGAAGGGCCGGGAUCUCAGUGGGAAAGGCCAGGAUCUCGGCAGGGAGAUCCAACCUGUUCAGAGCGCCCCGGCCCUGCUCACAUCUCCUCCACCUCCGUCUUCCUCCCGAGCCAUCGCUGUCCUUGGCUCACCCACGGCACAGAUAACGGAGGUGUAAAUAAAAGGAAAAAAAAAGGGAGAAUUAAAAGCGGA
rnacentral:lncRNA from 1 species